AAUUUAGACCCAGGUAAAAAGAAAGUGAAUUCAAUGUUAAUCUUUACGGGCUCAUUCUGAUCUGCUGCUGGUUUUGUCUUACCUGUAUUCUCUGUGAAGCAGAGUUCCAAGACUCUCCAAAUUUCCUCAAUCAGGGACCAGAUUCUGCUGAACAGCUCCUGCAGGAGGUGUCAAAGUGUGUGUAGUAGAGGAAUUAAGUCAGAAACGAGUGCAGCAUCAGAUUGGGUCUCAGCUGUGCCUUGGGGCUGAUGGGACGACAUUGAUUCUUGCCCGCUGUAACCUCAUUGGCAUGCCAUAGGUGUGACAAUUAGCCACUGAGGACCUCUGCCAGGAUUGUUUGAAAAGUGUGGCCGCUGAUCUCGAACGUGGAUUAAAUAUUUAUCAUGUGCUCAAGCAUUUCAUCAGCCUGGAGAUGAAGAGCCACCUGAGGAGAAGACAGCAUGACCCAUUCAACCCGGCUGUGUCCAUUUGAUGCCUGAAUGGGAGAUCACAGAUUUGCUCAGAAGAGGUGAAAAAAUUUACUUGAACUAAAAUAGUUCACAGCUAAUGGUGACACAAGACAGCCUAUUUGGGCCACAUUUGCUGCAAAACACAAAGCUUGGUCUGUACUUAACUGUCUAUGCAAGAAUUCAGUGAACCAUCUGUGUUAAUAAAAAGAAUACUGAAAUACUAAACAAAUGUUCUUUUUUUCAUACGUAACAGUGGUAGAUGCUUAGGUGCAUAGCUGAUAUGUAAUUUAUUAUUUUUUUGCUAAAAGUACAUCUAAGCACAUCAGACUACCUCAUGCUUUUAUAGUACAUUUCAUAAGAAUUAUGAUCCCUUUAAAAACCCUAAAUAGAAAUGUUCUUUCCGUCAAGUCGUCUUUGACAUUUCAAAGACUCACAUCACUUUUUAUGACUAGAAGAUUUCCUUACAAGAUCAGAUCCUUGUUUAAAAUGUCACUUUAUAGCCCUUAAAAGUGCUGAAAGGAGAAUCAUACUUGCUAACAUAUGUAUCAAUGGAAAUAUGGAUAUAUAGAAAACAAUUUUGUAGUACUUCAUGUAAAUGUAUUUUUUUCUGUAAUAUAAUGUUUGUCAAUCUAGAAUUCUGAUGAUUAGUUUCAUCAGGUCUUGUUUUGUUGGCCUUUGUCUUGUUCAACUAAAGCUUGAUGUCUGGAAGCACAGUAUGACACAGAGUCUAAUUGUAUCUGGUUCAAUACAUGCCACAGUCUGAACAGUGUUACUACAGUUUUAGGUCACCUAUAUUUCUGCUCUUUACGCUGAAUUGUAUAGAUGUAAUGAAAGGAACAGGUCUAUAUUUGAGAAGGUGCGAGUAGAGUUAUCAAACUGGUUGUAACU